rnacentral:rRNA from 1 species
CAGCUUCUUUGGUACUCAAUGACAGGUGAGGCUCGUGAGCCAUGUACCCAGUUAAUCGUGUGGUGUUUUUGUGAUUAUGGAUGACCAGAAAAUUUACUGCCGUGUGCCUGCGUGGGAGGAUAGAAACGUGGGGUGGGACCUUGAUCAUAAAAAUAUCGGCCUCCUCCUCUCAUCGCUCGAUUCCUCCUCUCCUCCCUGCCGCCGCCGCCUCCUCUUCUUCCCUAGACCAUGCCUCCUCCCCGCUCCUCGUUCUGCCGCCUCCUGCUGCUCCCGCACGGCAGCCGUCUUCCAUCCGGCGUAUCGCCUAGCGGAGCAAAUGGCGGAUCUGCCACCUCUCUCCUCGCCGGUAAGGAGAAGCCAGACUGGUGCUGGGGAGAGCCGGAGACGGGGACAAGAAGCAGUAGCUAGUGGUCGGCUCCUGCUGUGGUGGAGUGGAGCUGCAGGGAGAGGAAGGAGGCCGGCGACAGGGGAAAAGAACAUGUCGGCUCUGGUUCGUCAUGGAGAACACAACUGCUCGCCCUCCUCUGCCUCUUCUUCUCUGGUCCAUGGAUUCGUUGUGGGUCUCUAUUGGCGGUGUUGGGGAUUGUAAGGCUUGUUCCAUCUGGUUUUAGGAGCGUGUGUUGCUCCUAUAAAAUUUUCUCAGGUUUGGCAGCAAAUCAACUACUCUGAAUGAGGCCAUCCACAGCUUCUCACGAGUAACAUGCUUACGCGAACACGUUGAUCCAAGAAUUCAGUGCUCGGAGAAGUCUGCUACGCUAACUUGUGGGUUCAGAUCCUUAUUAUCAGAUCGUGUCACUCUUUCGACUCCAAAACCGAUGAGCUCUGGAAAACGGUAUAUCUCUACCUCCUAUUCCUAGCACUACUCAUUUAUGAAACAAUUCGUUCCCUAUACUGCAUUUAAAUAUCUUGCAUUUGCACACAAUUUGUAAUAGCAAUCCGUGGCUUUCAUGUAAUAAGGUGAAACCUACUCUUGCAGGCUCCUGAUUGUGUGUGUGUAUUUUGUAGCUUCAUCGCCUUAUGGCAUCAAGAUGCAGCUGCUCAUAUGAUUUCACAGUUUGGCAAGUACCAUAGAAUUUGUGGUUGACUGUUUACAUCCAAAAUCAUCGUGUUAGUACUUAGUACUGAAGCUAAUUUCUACAUUGUUAAUAGAGUUGCCUUGAUGUUUCCCGUACUAGAAAGAUCUAUCUAUGAUCUAUUUUCUAACCAUCUAAGACUGUAGUCAUAUAUACUCCAUACAGUAACAAUAUAUGUUGUUGUCAGUUUGCUGAUUAUUUAUCUCUCCCAGCUUGUUUUUAUGUCUAGUAAGAUUGCAUAAGAAGCUGACAUGUAAAUGUAGAUCAUGCAGCUUUAUGGACAUGCAUCAGAUUCAUAUUAUAAUAAAGUUUUGCCUUCAUACUAUAAAUCCAUUCAUUGGAGCUAUAUAUCAUAUACAGUACCAUUUAGGCUGGUUCAUGAGUAAAAUGUUGUUUUUAAUAAAUUUAAGGUUGUUCCUUGUUUGCUUUUUGUUUGCUAGCACUAAUGCUGAUGUAAGAAAACAAAGUAUAGUUCAUAUUUUAAAUCAUUUAUGUCCAUAUCGUCUGAUGCUAAUGUAUGAACUUUAUAUGGUUUGGUUUAAACGAUAUCAAUAAAAGAAUAUACAUUGUGGAAAUUAAAUAAAUCCUACAAAUCGAAUUAGGAAAUUAUUGUUACUGGCAUUCGACGAGGAAAAGGAGACCCCGGAGGAAGUUACUGCGUCGUUGUGGUGGCUCGAUCGAUGCGGAUUUUGAUGUUCAUUGUUUUGAUCUCGACAUGGAUUGGGUAGUGGAGAAUUGGUACUGGGGAUAGAGAAAUUGUUAUUUGUGUUGCUGAUUUUUUAUUUGGGCAUGGAUGUGAUCAAGUCUCGAGACUCAUGAUUCUUUUUCAGUGUCAAUCAAUGGUUUCCUUAAUUGCAAGACAGCGACUCUCCAUGUUAUUGAUCUGGUACAAUGUUGUUGUGCGUGAGGACGACUCAGGGAAAGGUGCAACAAGGCAGUGCUCGCGUUGCAGUGGACUGGAGUCCGCCAUCACCACCGACCAUUGCUCGCCGAUCGUCGUCCCUCAUCCCCCGUCUAGAUGUUUGCGGAUCAGGCGAAGAAGAGAGGUAGGAUCAAGGUUUACGAGUCGACAAGUCGACGAGUCGUUCCGAGGUGUUUGCUAGAGAAAAUCAAAAGAAGCAACCUGAAUGUCAAUGGGGUGAUGGCAGUGACAUAUUUAACAUGAGGUGUUGCAUCUAGGUUCUACAGGAUUCGCUGAUGGAUGUGUGAAUGUGAGCAAUCAGGAUAUAAAUUUGUUCCAACAACAAGACAUGCUGAUUAGAUUCAGGAAUAUGUUGGUACGUGUCAGCUUUGCAGCUUCAAGUUGUAGGACUAAUAUUUGGCACCUGACAUGAGGUUGAGAGAUACCAUGAUUUAAUUACAUAUGACAUGCCUUGUGCAGGGCACAUAAAAUAUAUCUGAUAUCUCUUUUUUGUUAUGUAUAUUUUUGUCCUUUCUACCCUAAUUCAGUAGCAUCAUUUUUUUAUGUUACUUCUUUAUAUGGUUGUUGCUUUCACUAUCUGAAAUAUAUGUGAAAUGAAUUUGAGUUAGCUUACUUUAGUAUCAAGGUAAAAAUUUCUUUGUUGUCAAGAAGCGCCAAAAUCCAAGGUGAUAAUAAUUUUUUGCUUGACUGUUUGUUGACGACCAGUAAAUUGUUGAAGUGUGUUCGAUAAAAUUGGCAAUGUGAUCGGAAGGUGGUGUCCAAGAAUUCUGUGGUUUGAUGGCACUAGGGGCAGGAGGUGCUGAUUUAAUCAGACUAAGAAGAUGCCUAAAUAAGCUGCGAGGCUGCCUAUUAUAACUGUGUUUCUAAGUCAUUGUACUAUAUGUAAACCAAUUUAAGUCAUUCUACCAUCUAUAAUAAAAUCCACAUU